CCCUGGUAAAAUUGAUGAAAAUUAUGUACCAGUCAACUGUUUGCAUCUCUUCCGGAAACAACGCCACACUAGGUCAAAUUAUUCCAAUCAUAAAAAAAAUUCAAGAUCACUUCAGGGUCACAGCAGACGACUCUUUCUUCUCUAAUGCCAUAAAGGAAAAAGACUGGGAUGACCUUUCCAAAAGAUACCAAGGUGAGGGCAUUCAGGAGUUUUUGGAGGAGGGCACGGCUCUGGACCCUAGGUUCAAGGGAAAGGUAGAGGAUGCUGUGUGGUACAGACUGGAGGAGGAGUUAAUCGAUCGAGCCUCACACCAGAACAGAGGUGAAACUGCCCAUGCCUAGCAGCAGGUGGACGAUGGGGACAGCUCAUGCGAUGAAGCCAGUUCAGCUGCAACAGAGGUAAAUAUU